rnacentral:rRNA from 1 species
ACGGCUCAGUAACACGUAGAUAACCUGCCCUUGGGUCCGGCAUAACCCCGGGAAACUGGGGAUAAUACCGGAUAACGCAUAUAUGCUGGAAUGCUUUAUGCGUAAAAUGGAUUCGUCUGCCCAAGGAUGGGUCUGCGGCCUAUCAGGUAGUAGUGGGUGUAAUGUACCUACUGGCCAACAACGGGUACGGGUUGUGAGAGCAAGAGCCCGGAGAUGGAUUCUGAGACAUGAAUCCAGGCCCUACGGGGCGCAGCAGGCGCGAAAACUUUACAAUGCGGGAAACCGUGAUAAGGGGACACCGAGUGCCAGCAUCAUAUGCUGGCUGUCCGGGUGUGUAAAAUACACCUGUCAGCAAGGGCCGGGCAAGACCGGUGCCAGCCGCCGCGGUAACACCGGCGGCCCGAGUGGUGAUCGUGAUUAUUGGGUCUAAAGGGUCCGUAGCCGGUUUGGUCAGUCCUCCGGGAAAUCUGACGGCUCAACCGUUAGGCUUUCGGGGGAUACUGCCAGGCUUGGAACCGGGAGAGGUAAGAGGUACUACAGGGGUAGGAGUGAAAUCUUGUAAUCCUUGAAGGACCACCAGUGGCGAAGGCGUCUCACCAGAACGGAUCUGACGGCAAGGGACGAAAGCUAGGGGCACGAACCGGAUUAGAUACCCGGGUAGUCCUAGCCGUAAACGAUACUCGCUAGGUGUCGGCCACGGUGCGACCGUGGUCGGUGCCGUAGGGAAGCCGUGAAGCGAGCCACCUGGGAAGUACGGCCGCAAGGCUGAAACUUAAAGGAAUUGGCGGGGGAG